rnacentral:rRNA from 1 species
CGAAGUGAGUGGCGAACGGGUGAGUAACACGUGGGUAACCUGCCCAGAAGUAGGGGAUAACACCUGGAAACAGAUGCUAAUACCGUAUAACAGAGAAAACCGCAUGGUUUUCUUUUAAAAGAUGGCUCUGCUAUCACUUCUGGAUGGACCCGCGGCGUAUUAGCUAGUUGGUGAGGUAAAGGCUCACCAAGGCAGUGAUACGUAGCCGACCUGAGAGGGUAAUCGGCCACAUUGGGACUGAGACACGGCCCAGACUCCUACGGGAGGCAGCAGUAGGGAAUCUUCCACAAUGGACGCAAGUCUGAUGGAGCAACGCCGCGUGAGUGAAGAAGGGUUUCGGCUCGUAAAGCUCUGUUGUUAAAGAAGAACGU